UACACACACACGCUGUCUCUCUCUGCUUGUGACCACACUUGACUGUUAGACUUCGUUCCUGAUCCUGUGAUGCAACAAAUGGUGACCCCGAUGUGAUGCAACAAUCAUGCAUGCAAAUUUGAGAUCUCUAUGUCCUGCUGGUUUCAAGAGGAUGAAAAUGAAUAUCUAGUCAUGUGCAACUGAAAACCACACACAUCACGCUGACCAGAUGAUGGCCCCAUGCUGAACACAACGGUGUAACUCAUAACUCAGUUAAGGGAGGAGACAGAUGUCAGAAAGUGGAAGAUUUGGAAGAGGAUGAAAGUCUGCUACAUCAAGUUGCUUCCUGCUCAAGCAAACAUCAUUGCCAACCACUGUUUAGAAGUCAGCUGAAAAGGGCAAAAGGUGAAUUUUGGCAUCAACAAUGAUUUAUUCCAGCAAGAGAGUUUAAAUACAGGCAAUAUAUUCCUGUCACCCUGUCAAUUGUCAAAAUGUCAGUAGACUUUUAUAAUCAAUUGUUUUUGUACCUAAUGUCAGCUGUCAUCAAUCUAUGAAA